GUGCCAGCAGCCGCGGUAAUACGGAGGGUGCGAGCGUUAAUCGGAAUUACUGGGCGUAAAGCGCACGCAGGGCGGUUUGUUAAGCUAGAUGUGAAAGCCCCGGGCUCAACCUGGGAUGGUCAUUUAGAAGCUGGCAGACCUAGAGUCUUGGAGAGGGGAGUGGAAUUCCAGGUGUAGCGGUGAAAUGCGUAGAUAUCUGGAGGAACAUCAGUGGCGAAGGCGACUCCCUGGCCAAAGCAUCUGACCGCUCAAUUGUGCGAAAGUUGUGGGUAACGCGAACGGAUUAGAUACCCUGGUAGUCC
rnacentral:rRNA from 1 species